rnacentral:lncRNA from 1 species
UUCCUCAAUUGCUACCUGGGACAUCUGCAAGCACUCUCUUGCCAAUGGUUUUAUUCCAGAACAUUUCCCCUGGCCCUCCAAGUACCCUUUUACAGGUUGCAGUAAAAAAUAAUCAACAACCAGUAUGGUAUUUCAAUGAUAAAAUCUAUUUCCACGUACUUUUCACCGAGGAUGGGAGGAUGGAGCGCUCCACUUUUCUUGCCAGUAUGGUAUUUCUAUGAUAAAAUCUAUUUCCACGUACUUUUCACCGAGGAUGGAAGGAUGGAGCGCUCCACUUUUCUUGAGGUAACAAUACCUUGUUGAAUUCCUAUUUAGAUUUAUGCAUUGGUUACUGUUUGGGUUGAGGCAUAUACUGAUUGUUGAUUGAUGUAUGUAUUACUACCAUCCACUCAAAUUAAUGGGGGCAUAACAUGUGUGAGCCUUGGCUUUGAUUUUCUCGCCUCAGAGGAAUUAUUUAUCAUCUCUUGCUGCUCCUAUUAAUUAAAAAUUAUCCUUAGCUUUCGCGUUUACUCUGCAUUUUUUUUGUUGAAGAAGAAUAAUGCAGAGUAAAUGUGACAGCUAGCUGCAAUUAAAACUGCAUUCUUGAGAGUUCCGCUUCCAACAAAUGACUGGACUCCUCUCAACUCCACUCCUUUAUAGAUUUGUUUCACUGCCUCUUUUUCUUUAUUCUCCAUUUU